UAGCUGGUUACCUGAUAAAUGAAUAGGAGUUCAGCCCUUUAAAUUUCCCGUUUCAUUUUUAUAUAUUAGAGAGAAGAACAAGGAAAAUAAAGGAGUUAGUCAAAAGGGGAACAGCUCUUUUGACAAAAGAAACAACUUUAGUAGGUGCUUUAAGAUCAUAUUUUAAAAGGAAAUUAACAUGAGUGGGCCUAAAAGCAGCCAUCUUAUUAGAAAGCGUUAAAGCUCAAAUUAAAUGAUAUCCUCAUAUAAUGACAUUAAGUCUUCAUCCCUACUUUUUAUAUUAGGUUGUCUUAUGUACAACAUAAGAGUAAUUAUGCUAAAAUGAGUAAUAAGAAAAACUUAAUUUUUCUCCUAGCAUGUGUGUAAGUUGGAACGGACCUUCCGCCAACGAUUAUUCGACCCCAAAUUUAGAGGGACAUAGGCAUGUUUAACAAGAAAAGUACUUAGCUUAGAUCGUUAACCCUACACAGGCGUGCAAAUAAGGAAAGACUAAAAGAGAUGGAAGGAACUCGGCAAACAUGAGUCUCGCCUGUUUACCAAAAACAUCGCCUCUUGUUUUACUAAUAUAAGAGGUCUCGCCUGCCCGGUGACUAUAUGUUUAACGGCCGCGGUAUUUUAACCGCGCGAAGGUAGCGUAAUCAUUUGUCUUUUAAAUGAAGACCUGUAUGAAUGGCAUAACGAGGGCUCAACUGUCUCCCUUCUCCAGUCAAUGAAAUUGACUUCCCCGUGCAGAGGCGGGGAUAAUUAUAUAAGACGAGAAGACCCUGUGGAGCUUUAGACCUAAGAUAAGCCAUGUUUAGGAGUCUAAAAUACAAGUAAAAGCUUAGUGGCAAUUAUUGAAGUGUCUUCGGUUGGGGUGACCCUGGGGAAAAAUAGAACCUCCAAGUAGACUGGAAACAUUGUUUCUAGAACUCAGAGCCCAUACUCUAAGUAGCAGAAUAUUUGACUUUAUGAUCCGGUAUAACCGAUUAACGAACUAAGUUACCCCAGGGAUAACAGCGCAAUCCUCUCUGAGAGCCCAUAUCGACGAGGGGGUUU
rnacentral:rRNA from 1 species